AUUGAACGCUGGCGGCAGGCCUAACACAUGCAAGUCGAACGAGUGGCGGACGGGUGAGUAAUGUCUGGGAAACUGCCUGAUGGAGGGGGAUAACUACUGGAAACGGUAGCUAAUACCGCAUACCAUCAGAUGUGCUCUGAUGGGAUGAGCAAGUUGGUGGGGUAACGGCUCACCAAGGCGACGAUCCCUAGCUGAUCUGCGAGGAUGACCAGCCACACUGGAACUGAGACACGGUCCAGACUCCGACGGGAGGCAGCAGGGGGGAAUAUGGCACAAUGGGCGCAAGCCUGAUGCAGCCAUGCCGCGUGUAUGAAGAAGGCCUGCGGGUUGUAAAGUACUUUCAGCGGGGAGGCGUUACCCGCAGAAGAAGCACCGGCUAACUCCGUGCCAGCCGCCGCGGUAAUUC
rnacentral:rRNA from 1 species